rnacentral:rRNA from 1 species
CCUACGGGCGACAGCAGUGGGGGAUAUUGCACAAUGGGGGAAACCCUGAUGCAGCGACGCCGCGUGGGGGAAGAAGGAUUUCGGUUUGUAAAGCUCUUUCAGUAGGGAAGAAAAUGACGGUAUCUGACGAAGAAGCACCGGCUAACUACGUGCCAGCAGCCGCGGUAAUACGGAGGGGGCAAGCGUUACUCGGAUUAACUGGGCGUAAAGGGAGCGUAGGCGGGUAUGUAAGUCAGGUGUGAAAUCCCAGGGCUCAACCCCGGGACUGCAUUUGAAACUGUGUGACGAGAGUAGGGGAGGGGUAGGCGGAAUUCGUGGUGUAGCGGUGAAAUGCGUAGAUAUCAAGAGGAACACUGAUUGCGAAGGCGGCCUGCUGGACCAAAACUGACGCUGAGGCUCGAAAGCGUGGGGAGCAAACAGGAUUAGAUACCCGAGUAGUC